UACGGAGGAUCCGAGCGUUAUCCGGAUUCACUGGGUUUAAAGGGUGCGUAGGCGGCUUUAUAAGUCAUUGGUGAAAGCUCGCAGCUUAACUGUGAAACUGCCAUUGAAACUGUUUAGCUUGAAUGUGGUUGAAGUGGGCGGAAUACAACAUGUAGCGGUGAAAUGCUUAGAUAUGUUGUAGAACACCGAUUGCGAAGGCAGCUCACUAAGCCAAUAUUGACGCUGAGGCACGAAAGCGUGGGUAGCAAACAGG
rnacentral:rRNA from 1 species